rnacentral:rRNA from 1 species
CCUACGGGAGACAGCAGUGAGGAAUAUUGGUCAAUGGCCGAGAGUCUGAACCAGCCAAGUAGCGUGAAGGCUGACUGCCCUAUGGGUUGUAAACUUCUUUUAUAUGGGAAUAAAAUGUUCCACGUGUGGGAUUUUGUAUGUCUCAUAUGAAUCAGGAUCGCCUAACUCCGUGCCAGCAGCCGAGGUAAUACGGAGGAGCCGAGCGUUAUCCGGAUUUAUUGGGUUUAAAGGGCGCGUAGGUGGAUGGUUAAGUCAGUUGUGAAAGGUGGCGGCUCAACCGUAACAUUGCAGUUGAAACUGGCAGGCUGGAGCACAGUAGAGGGGGGCGGAAUUCGUGGUGUAGCGGUGAAAUGCUGAGAGAUCACGAAGAACUCCGAUUGCGAAGGCAGUUCACUGGACUGCAACUGACACUGAGGCACGAAAGUGUGGGUAUCAAACAGGAUUAGAGACCCCUGUAGUC